rnacentral:ncRNA from 2 species
UGAUAUAUAAAGAAUUCAUAUACCUUUGUUCCGUUCAAAGUUAAGGGAACUCCGUGAGAACCGGAGACAGUACCCGCUGCUGUGAUGCUUACCCGAACGGGUUGUCCGCAAUCAAGAACCACUGCCUGAAAAGGCGGGAAGGUGACGGACAUAAAAGCUAAGUCAGAAGACCUGCUUGGAAUAUUAUUAUUAA